CGCGUAGGUGGUUUGUUAAGCGAGAUGUGAAAGCCCCGGGCUUAACCUGGGAAUGGCAUUUCGAACUGGCAAGCUAGAGUGUGGUAGAGGGUAGUGGAAUUUCCUGUGUAGCGGUGAAAUGCGUAGAUAUAGGAAGGAACACCAGUGGCGAAGGCGGCUACCUGGACCAACACUGACACUGAGGUGCGAAAGCGUGGGGAGCAAACA
rnacentral:rRNA from 1 species